GAAGGAUUGUGGGAAGGAUCAGUGAGCGGUAUGCAAAGUGAAUUCAAAGAAAUUAUAAAAAUUGAAUAUUUAUCAAUCUCAGCUGCAGAGAAGAGUGGCAUAAAGUGUAUAGGACUGGAGUGUACUCAGUGUGUUUACUGAGAUGGCACACUGUUUAGCAUGCUAGAGACUGCCAUUUUAAACUAGUAUGCAUCUUCCUCAGAUUUAUCUGAGAUUAUGAAUCUAUUUAGGACUAUUGUGUUUUGACUGCUCUGGUUGGCUUAUAUAUUUUAUUAUCUCUUCACAUAGAAUUGUUGAUUUCAAAGAUAGCAGUGAGGGUCUAAUGGAAAUCUGCCAUGCAGACCAUCUAAGUCACUUACUCUUCAAUCUUGCUUCAAUUUAACGAGCAUCAGUCAAGCCAAGAUCUCAGCUAUCAGUAGCUUUUCUUUAAGGGGCAGGCCCUGAGGAGCAUCCUUCCCGGAGUCUGCACAGUAUUGGGAAGUUCCUGUCUCCAGCUUCCUGCCCGGACUUCCCUGGAUGGUACCUUCCCUGCAAGCUCCAAAAAGAAGUAAAUCCUUUCUUCCACAAGAUAGAGCUUUGGUCAUGGUGAUUUAUCACAGGAGUGCAGACCCUAGAUUCCAGAUAAGUGUAAUCCUCUUGCCUCAUCGAUUUUCUUUCUCUUGGCAACAGACAGAGAUCAUUCCAGAAAACAACAAGCCUUCGAACUGCAGAGUUGCCGAGCCCAGGCACAAUGGAGAUCUCCAACACAGCUGCAUCUAAGGCUCAGGGAAUAUUUUGGAAGAGGGGUCAGAAGCAGUCUAAGAACUAGAGGAUCAAGGAAUGAGAUGCAAUGCUGUGUCUCCUAAGACUGCCAGAAGCAACCUGCAAAGUCUCAGCAACACGACUGCCCAAACAUGAGCUGGACAAGGAAGAGUAGACAUGCCAGAUAUGGGCAGAGGGAAAGCCCAUAGGGCCUCAACCUUAUCUCCAAAGAACAAGGGCAAACUAAGGAGGGCUGAGAGCUAGAGAGAUAGGCUUCCCCAGGAAGGAGCACAACAGUUGUUUAUCUCCUACCAGAGGCUAGUCCUGGAAACACGCAUCCAGGUCACACCAUGAAGCUUGAGCUGAUUAUAUGUAGAAAUCUAUAUGCAUGUACAUGAAUACAUUGGUAGAGGAAAUAACAAUUGAUGAAGAACGGGGUUAUUUGAAAGAGAGCAAGGAAGGGUAUAUGUGAGUCUUUGGGGUAGAAGAGGAACUAGAUAACAGAUGUAGUAAUAAUCACAAAAAAGAAAAGAAAUCUUUUAGUUGCCCUCUGAAUUUAGCAAGAUUCUGUAUGGCUGUUGGCUAUGUCCUGAGUUUUGGUUGACCCCUUUCCACAACCCCAUCACCCCAAGCACCAUCCCUCUGUAAGGCUUUCUAUGCCCGGUAUCCUAGAAAGUCCAUGUUCACAUCUCAUGCGUCUUACAGUCCCCCACCUCUGGACCUCCUCUGGAAGCUCCUUUCUCCCUCCAUGACUUCUACAGACACUGACUCCUAUUCAAACAUAGAAAGGUAGAACUAUGCAGCUGGUGCCCACAUGUGAGAGCACAUAGGUGGCUUCUGUGGCUGUUUGACCAAGAUAAGAAAAAGGAACAUAGGAGAGGAGCAGCCAUCCUCAUUGACAAAUAGUCCUGGGGAGAACUGGAUAUACACAUGCAGAAGGCUAAAACCAGACCCCUAACUUUAGACUGAAGAAAAUUGGUUCUAAAAGGAGGUAAGACCUGAAAUGCUGAGGGUCUCAGGAAAAUGCAGGGAUCAUUUCUCAAGAGAAGCAGAUAGACAAGAUUCUUGUUUUCUUCUGUAAGACCCCCUUUCGGGGACCCCCACUCUAGUCUCGGGAGUGAGAGAGCACCCAAAGAAACACGAGAAUCCAUUGCCGUAAUCACAUGAGGCAGUUUAAAGACUGAGCUCCGGACCGACAUGCAUCUCACACAGGAGAUAACGGAUGUCCAUCACAAGGCUUGAAAGCUAGGGGUUUUUAUGGGGUGAGGAGCUUAGGGGUGUGGAAUUCAGCAUAGCAACACACUAGACACACUAUUGGCUUAUUCAAACAUUAACAGAAAGAUUACAUGUCAGCAAAAGGGCAUCGGGACUUUGUUCCUGUGGGCUGGGGGUUUAUCUUGUUCACAUAGCAACCAGUUGAUGUAUGACUUUACCCGGCAUCAAGGAGCAGUAGACAGAGGGGAGGUUCCGGCCAGGUGGGGUUGACCCAGACAAGAUAGCCCUGCUUGUCCUUGUAUUUUUUCAUUUUUACAGUCAAGCUGUUCUUAGGAACGUCUUAACAACAGCCCUGUCUGUUCUGCUUUGUUCUCCGCCCCAGGCCGUGGGCUCAUAGACAACUCUUUAACAUGAAUCACACGUUACAAAAUCUCAUUUUCCUUCACUUCAAAGGUUCAACAACUCCGGAAAUGGUCUCCGUACUUGUCAGGUGGGGUCCUCAUGAAUUACCAACUUCCUUCACCAUAAACAGGAAUAAAUUGGCAGAGUGAAGAGACAAAAUCCAAAAGGGGUGAACAAAAAACCUUGUUACACAAGUCAUCAUACAGAAACUUAAUGAAAUAUAUAGAUAAUUCAGACAAGUACAGUAGAACCAAACGACUCAGACGUGAGUAAACAAAACACAUUUCUCCUGGGGCAUAAGAUAUGGAGUGCACAUAAACAGGAGGGAGACUGAUGAGGUGGAAUAGGUAGGGGGGGAGAGAAUUUGUGUGAGAGUCAAAGGGAGUACAUGAGGCCUGGAAAUGGGUAAGGUCUGCUUUGUAUUUGAAAGUGAAGUGCAUCAGACCCACUGACGUUAGCAACCUGUGUGGACUGCUUACAAGUGGGUGCAUCGGGCUGGAGACAUGGCUCAGAGGUUAAGAGCACUCUCUUCUAUGACAUUGGACCAGGUUCUGAUCCCAGUACCACGUGAGCACAGCUCACAACCAUCUAUAACUCCAGUUCCAAAGGAUCUGACUUCCUCUUCGGGCCGCCAAUGCCACAGGCACUCUUGAAAUGCACAUGCAUGCAUGCAGGCAGGCAGGCAAAGAGUUAUACACACAAAAAUAAAACUGAGUCCGUCAUUUAACAGU
rnacentral:lncRNA from 1 species